GCUUCUUUUCCCGCGCGUCGCGAGCGAGCGCGGGUGGCAGAGAAGGAAGUGACGCACCGCGACACGCCCAGCAUCUUCUUGAGCUCCUCCUUGAGGUGGAUGGGCAGCGGCAGGUGGCACAGGAUGGUGCGCAUCUUCUUUUCCCACGCCGCGUUGCACGCUAGCUCCAAGAUCUCGGCCGGUACUCCAGCCCGGCUGCCAGGAAGACUAGUUUAUUGAAUGCACUGCAAGAGGAUGACGUGCUUCCACCAUAUUAAAAAAAAAAUCCUUAAUAAGACCUCAACAGAAGUGGAGGAAAUAGAGGUAGUCGCGGAACUUGGAAGCUUACGAAGUUUGUUUGGAAAAGAGCUGGCUUGGACCAUGACAGAAGGGAGCGAUGGAAACAAACUCAACUUUUUCG